rnacentral:rRNA from 1 species
AUUGAACGCUGGCGGCAUGCUUUACACAUGCAAGUCGAACGGUAACAGGUUAAGCUGACGAGUGGCGAACGGGUGAGUAAUGCAUCGGAACGUGCCCGAUCGUGGGGGAUAACGCAGCGAAAGCUGCGCUAAUACCGCAUACGAUCUGAGGAUGAAAGCGGGGGACCGUAAGGCCUCGCGCGAUCGGAGCGGCCGAUGUCAGAUUAGGUAGUUGGUGGGGUAAAGGCUCACCAAGCCGACGAUCUGUAGCUGGUCUGAGAGGGCGACCAGCCACACUGGGACUGAGACACGGCCCAGACUCCUACGGGAGGCAGCAGUGGGGAAUUUUGGACAAUGGGCGAAAGCCUGAUCCAGCAAUGCCGCGUGCAGGAAGAAGGCCUUCGGGUUGUAAACUGCUUUUGUACGGAGCGAAAAGGCUCUCUCUAAUACGGGGGGCUCAUGACGGUACCGUAAGAAUAAGCACCGGCUAACUACGUGCCAGCCGCCGCAGUAA